GGAAGUAAAAGUCGUAACAGGGUUUCCGUAGGUGAACCUGCGGAAGGAUCAUUAUUGUAUAACCGAGGUGCGAGGGCUGUCGCUGACCCGAAAGGUCGUGCACGCCCGAGUGCCCUCACACACAUCCAUCUCACCCCUAUGUGCACCACCGCGUGGGUCCCCCUUUGGAUUGUUCGGAGGGGGGCUUACGUUUUCACACAAACUUUGUAUGCAGUGUAGAAUGUAUUUUUUGUUUUUGCGAUCACGCAAUCAAUACAACUUUCAACAACGGAUCUCUUGGCUCUC
rnacentral:misc_RNA from 1 species